rnacentral:rRNA from 1 species
CAGUAGCGUAUAUUAAAGUUGUUGCAGUUAAAAAGCUCGUAGUUGGAUUUCUGGCAUGAUGCGCCUGGCCCGCCUCGAUUACGAGUGUGUGUGCGAGCGCGCGUCUGCCAUCCAUUUGCAGAAUGUAUCUACCCUUCAUUGGGCCGGAUAUGUGAUGUAAAUCUUUUACUUUGAAAAAUUAGAGUGUUUAAAGCAGGCAUUUGCUAUGAAUACAUUAGCAUGGAAUAAUAAUCUAGGACUUCGGUUCUAUCUUGUUGGUUUCUAGAUCUGAAGUAAUGAUUGAUAGGGAUAGUUGGGGGUGCUAGUAUUAAGGGGCCAGAGGUGAAAUUCUUGGAUUCGGUCAAGACUAACUUAUGCGAAAGCAUUCACCAAGGAUGUCUUCUUUAAUUCAAGAACGAAAGUUAGGGGGAGUCGAAGACGAUUAGAUACCAU